rnacentral:misc_RNA from 1 species
GUUAGAGUUGAAAGAUUUUGUUGAGAUGGAGGAUAAUAAUAGUUCUCCAGGAUCUCCCAAGGAAAACCCAGAUCAGGAAAAUGAAGCAGGUCAAAUUACCAAGGAUUAUAGCUCAUUGGAGAAUAUGGUUAGGAGGAUUCAAGAUUCUGUGUCCAUUGGCAAAAGGCACAAAUUCUGGGAAACGCAACCUGUUGGACAAUUCAAAGACAUUGGGG